GCGCCGGUAGUGUACGGUACACGCAUCCCCAGAUUCAGCCUGUGCUCAAUUCUAUGGAUGAACAACCGGGGUUCGACUCCCCGCUAGCGCA